CGCAUAGCUCAGUUGGUAGAGCAGAAGACUCUUAAUCUUUUGGUCGGAGGUUCGAGCCCUCCUGCGC
rnacentral:tRNA from 1 species